rnacentral:lncRNA from 1 species
AGCUUGCCUCUUUUUCUUGCCCCUGAUGACUUGCAUUUUCUCCCAGACAGCUGCCAUUUUGGUCUUCCAGCCAUUCUCAAGACUAGAAGUGUACAGCUUUGCGCAAGGGCAACUUCUCUGCAUGGCAGAGGUGAGGGGAAAUGAAAAUGAUGCUGGGACUAAGUGUCGCCUCUCUGAGAAGUGUCGCAGUCGCAGUCAUGUGGCAUAUUAGCGGCACACAGAAGCGAAGCCCAUGUAAAAGGCUGGAGUAAAAAGGACCAGCUCUCCACAUGACACACGCCUGUAGUACACCGUGACUGGCAGGUCUGUUACAUUUCCCAGAAUGGUUCCCAGCGCUGGAGCUAAUUCCUUUUCGGAGAACCUACAUUUCUCACCUGCUGAUUGCAAUUAGCCACUGCCAGCUGGGGCCUGGUAUGCAGCGGAAAAGCUAACAAGAAGUAGAGACCGCGCGGAACCCAGACAGGGCAGAGGAUGUGCAUAAGUUUUGUUGAAACUGUCAACAGGGCAAGAGGUGAAUGCAGCAAAUCGUAAGGAGAAGACCUGAAUGAGGCAAGUGGCCACUCACCUUGUACCUGGGUCCCAAAUCCCCAGAGGCUCCAGGCUCAGCAACAGAUGCUCACAAUGAUGGCAACUGCUGAAGUUGAUGGGUAAUGAUUUUGCGGCAUCGUCUCCACUGACUCGGGCCCUCCUCCACCCUGGCUGCUGCUGAAGACCCCAGGAAGCAUGGCCCUGACCUCUGUUUAGUCUCCAUUCAGGAGCAGCCGGCCACCAUGUUGUAAGGCAACCCUGUGCCUGAGGCCAGCCAGCAGCCCUAAGAGUGGGCUUAGGAGCAGAUCCUGCCCCCACCGAGCCUGGAAAUGGGACUGCAACCCCAGUGAUACCUGGACUGAAGCCUCGUGAGGGACACCGAGCCAGAGAACCCAGCUAAGCCGCGUCCAAAUUCCUGACCUUCAGAGAUGAACCUAGCUGCCGUGCUGGGAGAAGCCCAGACCAUCUGGAAGAGGCCACAUGGAGGAGAACGGAAGCUCUGGACCCCAGCCCUGGCGGAGCUCCGCAGCCGGCCGCCGUCAGCACCAACGUGGCAGCCACGUGAGGGAGCCAUCUUGAAAGUGGACCUUCCAGCCCCAGCCGAGCCACCCCAGUUGACACCCCAUGAGGUGGAGGGCUCUCAUCCCAUUGCUGCUCUGCCCUGGGAGUCGGCAGCUGAUGACACGGGCUGGCCCCUGAUUGCCAAUCUGGAUGACGCCUUGAAACACCGCAUCCCCGCGAUCCCCUCAAACGCAGCUGUGAUUAGUCUGAUCUCCAAGGCCUCGGAGAAAAACCCCAGUGACUGAAUAAUAAUGGGAAGGUCAGGCUUGAAGGGUGGAAAGUCUGACACUGAGGGGCUGUUUGAACGCAGUGAAGUUUUAUUCAUUCCACGUGCGUGAAAUAAGGGCUAACAGGAUGGUCAGGGAGCAGCUCUGACUUAAUGAAUGGAUACGAAUCACGGACGGGGUCCCUUUCUUUUUUUUAAGAACAGAAAUGGGUACUAUUGAAAUGAUCUUUGCAUCUGUAGAAGCAAUUUGAAUUCUUGACUGAGCUGGGAGUCGCCUUUCCAAACGUGACUGAGAAUGUGGCUCUGGCACCUGACUGCUUGUGCUUCGACUUCGGGCUGUGUGACCUUGGGCAAGUCUGUGACCUCUCCGUGCCUCCCGAUCAUCAGCUGUAAAGUGGACAGAAUAAGAAGACCUUGCUCACAGGGUUGCUUUGAAGAUGAACUGAGACAUCCAUAUAAAGCACUCCAGCCCCUUCUUCAGAGUCAGAACUCAGUCAAUGUUAUAUAUUAUCAUUCUAUUAUUAUGAGUGUUUUUUUCCCCCAAGGAUACUGCCGAGAUUAACAUCAGUUCUGGUUCUCCGUGAUGACAAAAUAAAUCCAAAUUUCUG